GACGAAGGGAGCGAGCGUUGUUCGGUAUCACUGGGCUUAAAGGGCACGUAGGCGGCUUGGUGUGUCGGUUGUGAAAUCCCUGGGCUCAACUCAGGAAUUGCUUCCGAAACUACCAGGCUUGAGGCAUUCUGAAGGUGACUGGAACUCUUGGUGGAGCGGUGACAUGCGUAGAUAUCAAGAGGAACGCCGGCGGUGAAGACGGGUCACUGGGAAUGUCCUGACGCUGAGGUGCGAAAGCUAGGGGAGCGAACGGGAUUAGAUACCCGUGUA
rnacentral:rRNA from 1 species